AUUGAACGCUGGCGGCAGGCCUAACACAUGCAAGUCGAGCGGAGCGGCGGACGGGGGCGUGAUGCCAAGGACUCGGACAGGUCGUGGGGGAUGACGUCCGGUAACGGGCGCUAAUACCGCAUACUAUCAGAUGAGCCUAGGUCGGAUUAGCUAGAUGGUGGGGUAAAGGCCUACCAAGGCGACGAUCCGUAACUGGUCUGAGAGGAUGAUCAGUCACACUGGAACUGAGACACGGUCCAGACUCCUACGGGAGGCAGCAGUGGGGAAUAUUGGACAAUGGGCGAAAGCCUGAUCCAGCCAUGCCGCGUGUGUGAAGAAGGUCUUCGGAUUGUAAAGCACUUUAAGUUGGGAGGCGUUACCAACAGAAGAAGCACCGGCUAACUUCGUGCCAGCAGCCGCGGUAAUAC
rnacentral:rRNA from 1 species